UAAAGCUUAAACGCAGUGUACAACCUGGGACGUCACACCCAGAGCUGCCUCUGGCAAGAGGUGUUGUAGCUGGCUUAAGAGGGUAGAUGGAAGCAUCUGUCUUGGGGUGUCUCGCAGAGGUUCAGAGGAGCAAACUGCAUUCUGAAGAGCUGCGUGCCAUGGCAGGCUUUCCACACAAGUGGCUGAGGACUUGAGAUGAGACCAGAGAGUGACAAGGAACAGCACGUGCAGGGAUGGUUUCCAAGCGCUGCGGUUGCUUUCUCUUCUGUUCAUCAGGUGCCACA